rnacentral:lncRNA from 1 species
CCAGCUGUAUAGUUUUUGAACGUGAAGGGUGCAAGAAAAGGGGUGAGCGAGGACGGUGUAGGUAGCUGCACAGUGUUUCGGCUCUUCACGGGAAAGACUAAGCUCACACCUGCAGACAGACCCGGGACUCUGGCGCUCAGGUGUGUCUGAAGCCAGGGGAGGAGGCAGCACACCUGUGGAGCGGCAGCCUGUAAGUGUCUCACUUUCACUCGUGGAAUCAGUAGAGGUAUCAUGCUUUUCACCUGCCCAAUCAGCAAUGAAAAGUUACCCUUUUGGAAUGAUCAUAACAGUUGAAUAACUGAACAACAUGGUUGUAUUGGGGCAAUUGGAGAUUUAGUAUGAGGAUACAAGUAAUAUGCUGCCGUAUCCAAAAUGUGUAUCAGAUAUACCAUGGACUUCAGACGGACAUUACCAAGAACCAUAAAAUGUGUGGAGAGAAAGACGAGGAAAGAAAGACAGAGACAAAGUUGGGAAGAGAGAGAGAGGAGAAGAAAUACUAAAGACUUUUGGGCAGAAGUGGAGCACCUAAAGGAGGCCAAGAGGCCGGGAUUUACAAGAGCUUUGGAUAUCUUUCCAGCAUUCAACCCUGGGAAACAAAGGACUUCUGUUUACAAAAUCCCCAAAGAAUGUGCAGCAUCUAAAUAAAACAAUCAGUCACAUUUCCAUUUAUUUAUAAAGACAAGAGGCAAACGUUUUUAAGGCUGAAAGUAUUUAUGGAAUAUGAUAAAUUACUUCGUAAAAAUAGCUCUCCAUACAACAAGAAGAGCAGCAACAAACCAAUCAAAGGAUAAAUCAAAAUCUUGAGCUCAGUAAUGGACAAGAACUGGUAGAGGUACAUGUAGGAUCAUCGAAUCCAAAAAAAUAUUGAAAAGGACUAAAUAACUGGGGGAUUAGGUUGGUGAAAUAGAAUGAAAAUGCUGUAUAUCUUAGUGGCUCAGAAUAGAAAAAUACCAAGGCGAGUAUGAAGGUAGGGGAAAGUAAAGUCCUCAUCUUUCAUAACAGGAAGUCAGCUGAUAGACUCUAAACUGAAACACAAUGGCUCUAACUUCUUAAUGUACAUCACUGUCUUUGUCCUUGCUUAAGAGGCAUGUACUACUUUGGGGUGAAUAGCCAUUUAUCUGAAGUUCAGCAGCUCCUUUCAAUUUACUUCAUAUUAUUUUACUUCUGUUAAAUUCAUGUAAAGUUAAAUGUAGUACUUGUAAUUAAAAUAUUGUUCAUAGUGUGUCCGAA